GGCUUAACUGUGAGGCUGACGGGCCGAGCAGAUACGAAAGUAGGGCUUAGUGAUCCGGUGGCGCUGAGUGGAAGGGCCAUCGCUCAACGGAUAAAAGGUACGCCGGGGAUAACAGGCUUAUCGCGUCCAAGAGUUCACAUCGACGACGCGGUUUGGCACCUCGAUGUCGACUCAUCGCAUCCUGGGGCUGAAGUAGGUCCCAAGGGUUCGGCUGUUCGCCGAUUAAAGCGGUACGAGAGUUGGGUUCAGAACGUCGUGAGACAGUUCGGUCCCUAUCUGUUGUGGGCGGAGGAGACUUGAGGGGAGCUGUCCUUAGUACGAGAGGACCGGGAUGGACAGACCUCUAGUGUUCCGGUUGUCAUGCCAAUGGCAAUGCCGGGUAGCUAUGUCAGGAAGGGAUAAACGCUGAAGGCAUCUAAGUGUGAAGCCCACCCCAAGAUUAGGUCUCCCUCCCGAGUAAUCGGGACUAAAGGUCUGUGGUAGACCACCACUUUGAUAGGCUGGAAGUGUAAGUGCAGUAAUGCAUUCAGCUGACCAGUACUAAUAGACCGUGAGGCUUGACCCU
rnacentral:rRNA from 1 species